AUGGGAGAGCACUUCUGUGGCCUCCACAGCAAUUUGUUAUACCAACUGUUACCACAGAUGGGAACGAUUUUACCUCAGAUAAUACAACUUGUGGAGAAAUAGUCAAUAAAUACUCAUUUAAGGAUCAGUCUAGGCAAAACGAUUAAGUGGACUUCAGUAGGAGUCUGUGGAAUAGCUAAGAAACAUGACCAGGCAACUCAGAUAUCACUUCGUUGUCAAAAUAAUUUCACUUGCGGAGACAAAGAUCUAUGAAGCUUCCAUUAUGACAAAUUCUGUUCCCAGCUUCACAAGCACUGCACAAAAAGCACGCAACAUGUUGCAUGUGUCCAGAACUGCAGUGAGAACCUCUUCAUUUAAACUUAUUUGUCCUAUUCAAGUGAUUCAGCAUGUAAUUAAGGUCUACCACAUUAUAAAAAUUAGCCACAGAUCACCAUUUGUUACAAGUGUGACUCACAGGGGCUAAGCCUGUUUAAUAUUCUGUCUGGCAGCAAAAUGUUCGAGGGCAGAAUCCAGAUCAAUACACACAAUUUUUUUUUCAGUCUUCCCUGCAGUAGCAGUGUUGUACAUUUUGGCAUCUCUGUCUUGCCAACUGCAAUGAAAGAAAUUGUCAUUCAAAAUAAGAC